rnacentral:rRNA from 1 species
AUGAACGCUGGCGGCGUGUUUAAGGCAUGCAAGUCGAACGACGUGCUCUCGCAAGAGAGUUACGAGUGGCAAACGGGUGAGUAACACAUUGGUAACCUACCUUGAAGACGGGGAUAGCUCGCCGAAAGGCGAAUUAAUACCCGAUAGCAAUGCGGGGACAAAAGUCAUUCGCAUUUAAAGUCGUAAGACGAUCGGAGAGGGGCCUAUGUCUGAUUAGCUAGUUGGUAGGGUAAAGGCCUACCAAGGCGACGAUCAGUAGCAGGCGUGAGAGCGUGACCUGCCUCACUGGGACUGAGACACUGCCCAGACACCUACGGGUGGCUGCAGUCAAGAAUAUUCCUCAAUGGGCGAAAGCCUGAAGGAGCGACGCCGCGUGCAGGAUGAAGGUCUUCGGAUCGUAAACUGCUUUUUUCUCUGAAGAAUUUGUGACGGUAAGAGAAGAAUAAGAGGUUGCUAACUCUGU